GACGUAGGGGGCGAGCGUUAUUCGGAAUUAUUGGGCGUAAAGAGCUCGUAGGCGGUCUGUCGCGUCGGCUGUGAAAACCUGGGGCUUAACUCCGGGCCUGCAGCCGAUACGGGCAGACUAGAGUUCGGCAGGGGAGACUGGAAUUCCUGGUGUAGCGGUGAAAUGCGCAGAUAUCAGGAGGAACACCGGUGGCGAAGGCGGGUCUCUGGGCCGAUACUGACGCUGAGGAGCGAAAGCGUGGGGAGCGAACAGG
rnacentral:rRNA from 1 species